CAUGACUUAUGUAGGAACAUGAUCUAUGGUCACACAGAUCAGAACAAAGUUCUCCAUGCUAAUGAGGUAUCUAGAGGCCCUGAGGGUUUGGCCAAUGAGCUUCCUGCAAAAGGUAUUUAAUCUCUGUCCACCCUGCCCAUCGGUGAGGCAGAAUGUGAAACCACAAAUAAUGAAUAAUAUUAAUAAUCAUAACGGGCAGUAUUUAGUGAGGACUAAUUACGUGAUGGGCUCUAUACUUAGCGCUUGAUGUGGAUUAUGGUACUUAAUCUGUAUUUCAUAUGGAGGUACAGUGAGGCAGGUAUGAGACAUAGCUUUCAGGGGUUCUCAGUCUUCCUGUUGCUACAGCUCCUCAUGUUGUGGUGACCCCACCCCCAAUCAUAA
rnacentral:lncRNA from 1 species